UGGAUGGAUUAUUAUAUUUGACUGUAUUCACGGUGUGAAAUAGGGGAAUACACUAUUUUUAAAUGGAAAGUGAAUCAAUUAACAUAAUAGACUCCU
rfam:Nicotiana sylvestris Nsyl_contig70306, whole genome shotgun sequence.